CUUUUAUCCAAUCAUGAUUGGAAAUCAUAAUUUCUGCAGCCCUAAUCUUUUACUAAUUGGUAUGGUUGGUAUCUAGGAUGCUAGCCAAUCAUUGUUCUUGAUUUAUUUAAAUUAUCCAAUCAGAUUGUUAAUUACAGUCUUUGUUUUAUCACAAGCGCUCUUGAUCACUUUUGAAUUUGCACAAAGCGUGUGCAGGCUGCUUUUCAUAUUCCAGUUACAAUUCUAUUUUAUUUAUCACUGGAAUUAUUAUUUAAACUUUUAAAGCUGAACGUUUUUUAAACAUGUUUGUUUAAAAUAUGACGUCUGAACGUGCAUAUGUUCGUGCGGAACAACAAAUCAGAAACAUUCUAAAUAUUCCAGAAUGGUAUAUUUUCUCCAAUGCGGAAAUUCGGUAUGUGGCCAGAGAACUAAAGAAUUCUGAAGGAAAUUUAACGAGGUUUUAUUGGACAUUAAGAAUGGAUUGUGCAGCGCAAUGCAACGGAUGUCUAUUCUGUGGAGAAAUUCUUAAAUUGUGUAAUAUUCACAACAGAUAUUCCAGACAGGCGUAAAUAUUUUAUUUAGCCAUUGGAUUUACAUUAUUUUUAAACACUUGAAUCGUUAAUAAAGUUAAACAAUGUUUGAAUCGGAAAACGAGGAGAUCGGAAACCCGAUGGUCGAACUAUCUGACAUUGACCGGGUCAAAAAGUGGGCGGCCAGCAAAAAAGUGAAUGAACAUUCGGCGGCGGAGUUAAUCAGGCUAGGAUAUGACUCCAUUGAAGCACUUUCUUGCCUCCUGCCUGAGGAUUUAACAAAGUCAAAGAUUCCAAUCGGACAACAACGGCUACUGCUGCGUGCAGUAAAAUCUACGUUUCCAGCGGAGAGCGGGAGCGAAUCCAACAUGGCGGCGAAUGAACAACUUCCGGCAACUUCACUUCAAGCCCAACUCAACGCAUGCGCAACAGAGACGAUAGAUGGCGGUGCAGUUCAAACCGGAAGUGGUGAUAUAUAUACGAGCAAGCUAUAACAAAACAGCUUCAACAGCAACAAUCGUUACCGUUGGGCGAUAAUCUUAACAAACACCAAGGACAAUCAACAGUGCAUCCUGAAGGUACUCAAGAUUUUGACUGUGUUUCUAACAUUAUCUUCGUGGAAAGACCCACAAAUAUUUUUAAAAUCUUCCUUUAAUGAUGUAACUAUAAAUUUUUAUGACAUUACUGAUUUUGUAAAUGUACAUAUGUCAGGUACUUCAGAGGAAAAACUUAUUUCAGAUGCUUCGGGGGGUCAGCUUAUUUUCAAAUCUGGUCCAGUCAAGCCGAAACUUGAGUCCCUGAGUUUGUGUCAAUGGUCUAGUGCGAAUUUAUCUAUUAUGUACAAACUGUUGUCCUCUGGGGAUUUGCCACAGACUCAGUUACUUGAUUACCUAUCAUAUACUGCAAGGAUUUACAAUCUUGUUGCUUCUUGUGACAUGGUUUCUGUUUUUUUUUAUGACCGAGAAUAUAGGCAGCUGCAGAAACAGCACAAGUUUCGUUGGGGUACAGAUGUUCCACAUUUACAUUCCAUAUAUUUACGUCCAAAGGGUUUUGUAAAGCCUCAGACAGGAGGCUCCAAAUAUCAGACCACUGGCCCAAGACCUGGGGUUAAACAUGAUAUUUCAUAUGCUUCCCAUACAUCAGGUGGGCGGGAAAUAUGCAAAAGGUUUAACAGCAGGAAGGGAUGUUUUAUGACAAAUUGUAGGUUUGAGCAUGUUUGCGCUGUACCAGGCUGUGCUAAUAAGCAUCCUGCUCAUUCUCACUCUAACUCAUUGCAUGGCAAUCCAAAAAAACGGGGUAUAAUGGUAAAGCCUACACGUGACCUCAUCCUGUCUGCCUGGUCUAACGAAUUACAAAAUGAUUUUGAUAAAGAAUUUCUUCUUCACGGUAUUGAGUUUGGCUUUGACAUUAUUGAUACUUCUGAUAUCCCUUUAAAUAUUCAAGCAAAAAAUCACCCGUCUGCUAGUCCAUCUGGCCCCCUUUACAGUAAAGCACAUGCACAAGUUUUGAUUGAAAUUGAAAAUGGUAAUUAUAUUUUUGCAGAUGAAAAACCCAAAAUUAUUAGUCCCAUGGGUGUUAUACCUAAGCCGGGGGGCGGUAUACGGCUCAUACAUGAUUGUAGUAGACCUGAAGGUUCUGCUGUCAAUGACUUUGCAGGUAACUCAUCGAAACAAAUUUUUCAAACUUUAGAUGAUGCAACAAAACUUGUAACAGCCAACUGCUACAUGGCAAAAGUGGAUUUGAAAUCGGCUUAUAGGUCCGUUCAAAUAAGUAAAACAAGCCAGCAGGUGACAGGUUUUAGAUGGACUUUCCCUGAUGGUAGAGAAUUUACCUUAUUUGAUCGCAAACUCCCUUUUGGUUCAAAAUUAGCACCUGGUAUUUUUCAUCGUUUGUCCCAGGCUGUAAGAAGGAUUAUGUCACGUAAGGGCUUUACCAUUGUAGCUUACUUAGAUGAUUUUUUCAUAUGCGAGCAGACUAAAUCUAGAUGCAAAGAAGCUUUGAAUGUGCUUAUUACUUUGCUGCGUUAUUUAGGUUUUGCGAUAAAUUGGUCUAAAGUGGUUGAUCCAUGUCAGCAAAUCACUUUUCUUGGCGUAGAAAUUGAUUCUUCUACUAUGGAAGUCAGACUUCCAAGCGAUAAAUUGGCGGUGUUAAAAGCAGAGCUGCUUGCAUUUACAAAGCGUUCCCAUGCUUCAAAAAAGCAACUGCAAUCCCUAGCGGGGAAAUUAAACUGGGCGUCUGCGGUAAUUCGUGGCGGAAGAGUUUUUCUUCGACGAAUUAUCAACUGCAUUAUGCGUAUUAAGCGGGAUUGGCAUAAAGCGCGUCUUAAGGGCGAUAUUGCGCAAGAUAUUCUCUGGUGGAAUAACUUUAUUUCAUCCUUCAAUGGGAAAUCACUGAUUUUAGAUCAAUAUCCUGUCACAUCAGUAGCUACAGAUGCAUGCCGUUCUGGAGCUGGUGGGUUUUUUGAUAAUGAUUGGUUUUAUGUAAAUUGGCAAUGUGAUUUUCCUUUUGCAGAAAAUUUGCACAUUAAUGAGCUUGAAGCGCUUUCUGUUGUAUUUGCGGCUAGGCGUUGGGCAAAAGCAUGGCAAAAUAAGCGUGUUUUAAUUUUUUGUGACAAUGUGACAACGGUUAGUUGUUUAAACAAGUGUUCUUCAAGGAAUACUACCUUGAUGUCUUAUUUAAGAGAGCUGUUUUGGUUGUCAGCUUCUAACAACUUUCACAUAAAAGCUGUGCACAUUGCAGGUAAAUCAAAUGUCAUGGCCGACAUGAUUUCGCGUUUGCAUGAUGAGUAUAAAGUUCAUGCGCUUUUAUUUACCUAAUCCUCUGUUUGUGCACCACUUGGAAUCCCACAUGUCUAGUCACUCCCUCCUUUUUCUUUUGAAUAGGCUCACAGGGCUCCAAAGAGAUGACGGCAUUGGAUGAUAUUGUUCUGGACUUCAGAUGCCAUGCCUAUGCAGAAUCAACCAAAAAGACUUACAUGACUUAUUUAAAGUCCUUUGUGGCUUUUUGUAAUUUAAUUGGUAUUCCAGUGGUUCCCUUAAGUCAAGAGAAUUUAGCAAGAUAUAUUGCCCACCUGUCUCGUCGACUGAAGUAUAAUUCCUUGUGCAAUUAUUUAUCCAUAAUAAGAAUUUUGCAUCUUGAGGCAGGGUAUAGCUCCCCGAUUGACACUCAUUUAGUUUCAAAUGUUUUGAAAGGUGCACGUAGAGUGUUGGGGGAUGUCAACACAGCCAAGUUGCCUAUUACCCCCAAGAUUUUGUUUAAAAUUUUUGCCAUUAUAUCCUUUAACGACACAAAAGAUGUAGCUUUUUGGGCAGCUUGCCUUGUGGCUUUCUUUUCUUUUUUCAGGAAGUCUAAUUUGUUGACACCAUCUGUAAAUGAUUUUGACCCUGAUCGUCAUUUAAGUAGACAUAAUGUAUUUUUUCGGGAAGAUGGUGUCCUAUUGCGCAUUUCCAAAUCUAAGACUAUACAGUUUGCAGAACGUUGUUUAGAUAUUCCACUUCCUGCUAUAAAAAACUCUCCUUUAUGCCCCUCACAGGCUUUAUUAUUAAAUUUUAAAAUGGUACCAGCUGUCCAAACUCCUUCCCCGGCCUUUUUAUAUCAAAAUGGGGAGGACACUAUCCCCUUAACCUAUGCAGUGUUUUUGGCUAGGCUUAAAACUGUCCUAUCAAUCAUUGGUUUUGAUGCUUCACUUUAUUCUGGGCAUAGUUUUCGAAGAGGAGGGGCAACAUUUGCUUUUCAGUGUGGUGUUCCAGGGGAACUAAUUCAGUCUCAAGGAGACUGGAAAAGUGAUGCAUAUAAGGGCUAUUUAGACCCCUCUCCUUCAUAUAGAUUGCAUGUUAUGAAAACUUUUGCUAAUGCACUAAAACUUUCUACUUAACCUAUCUCUACAUUAUACCUGGUUUGGGCAAGUGUUUGGAGUACCACAGACUUAUCAGUGAAUUGAUAUUUGCGAAACAAUUGACUUUUUAUGAUUCUUUCAUUGUUCAUUGUCAUGUUUAUUAUAUAAUGAAAGAAAUUAAUAAAACUGUGGUUAGUUUGCCCAAACCAGUAUUUUGUCUCAUUUCAACUUAUAUGUUUUAUAAUUAUCUGGUCCAGCCUGUGCAUAACGGUUAAAGUACAAGAUUCUGUUCGGCUUCAGUAAACAUGAGCUCUUCAGGGUCUGGUCUUGCAUCCAAUUGUGUUAUGGGCAUGGACCAGAAUAUAGCCUUUGUCUGCUGGAUGCAUAUUACAUACACACAUACUUUACAUGUAAUUCUCUCAGAUACCCAUGAGGAGGUGGGUGGGGCCAGAACAAGUGUAUCUGGAUUAAUGUGCUUAUUUUUAUUAAAUAAAGUAUUAAUACAGAGGGAACUUGAACAUAGCAUUUGCUUACUUAAUUAUAUACCGUAUCCAGGAAGUUCCUUUUAUCCAAUCAUGAUUGGAAAUCAUAAUUUCUGCAGCCCUAAUCUUUUACUAAUUGGUAUGGUUGGUAUCUAGGAUGCUAGCCAAUCAUUGUUCUUGAUUUAUUUAAAUUAUCCAAUCAGAUUGUUAAUUACAGUCUUUGUUUUAUCACAAGCGCUCUUGAUCACUUUUGAAUUUGCACAAAGCGUGUGCAGGCUGCUUUUCAUAUUCCAGUUACAAUUCUAUUUUAUUCCCACCCACCACAGCCCUCGCA
rnacentral:sRNA from 1 species